UUCGAAAAAGGAUUUUGAAAUGAAGUUUAUUAAAGUGCAAUUCGAAAAAGGUUUUUGAAAUGCAGUUUAUUAAAGUGCAAUUCGAAAAAAGGUUUUUGAAAUGCAGUUUAUUAAAGUGGAAUUCGAAAAAGGUUUUUGAAAUGCAGUUUAUUAAAGUGCAAUUUGAAAAAAGGUUUUUGAAAUGAAGUUUAUUUAAUCCGUGUACUUUUCGGUAUUUGAAGUUUCGUUUCAGAAAGUAUAAUUUAAAAAAGAAAAUGAGACACUUAUUUAAUUCUCAACUUAAAAAGCUAAAAUGAAAAACGUAAAACAAUUGUUUUUUUCAUUUUGUCCUUUCGCACAUCAGAAACGAAAAACCCAAGAAAAAAGAACGAGAAAGGGCCCUUUAUUUAUUUUGUCUGAACCGGAAGUUUUAGUAGGUCAACAACCUGUACAAGUGAUGCGCAAACUUAUGGCAAACACUGUAGUGUGGACAUCAUGACGUUGGAAAAAUACUCAGACGUGAUCAUGGAGAUGGCAAAACAAGGCCUGUCAUCGGAAAUUAUAUCAGAGCGUCUGUCAUAUGAACACGGGGAAGUGAGAGGAUUUUCUGCGAGAAAUGUUAGAAAGUUUUGUGCUGAGCAAAUCACUAGCUGUCGACUCUCGGACACACGGUUGGAGCUUGAGGUGACACAAGCUAUAAAUGAGGGAGCUCGGAAUCUUAAUCCCACACCGUACCAUGCUGAAUGCAUGGGGCACAAGGUUCACCUGGACCAAAACGAGAAACUUGUAAUGUUUGGAGUCACCCAUGUUUUAGCUGUAGAUGGAUUCAGUAAAAAGAUUGUGAGUCAUUCCACAAUGCCAAUCAAAAACAACUUGAGCAUCUAUGAAUAUGUUUUCAGACCUGCAGUGAUCACCUAUGGUAUGUGGGACCAGGUGCGAGUAGACCAUGGAAAGGAAUUUUAUUUAACACUGUUCAUGCAAGAGAUGCUGUCACAUCAUCGCUUCAAUCAGGAGAGACUGCCUUAUUUACAGACCUCAUCCACAAGAAACCACACAGUUGAAAGGAUUUGGCCUGAAAUCAACAACCGUGUCAACUACCCACUAAAAACUGCCCUACUCCAGCUGAUGGACCAGGAGGAGAUAGAUAUGGAGGAUAACCUUGUGCGAUACUGUGUGUCCAAUCUAACCUGUCAGCUGUGUAACAUUGGUCUUGCAAGUGUGGUAGAAUCAUGGAAUGCUCAUAGAAUCCCAGGAAAAGGCAUACCAAAUCACUUUGCAGAACAUGGGUGUAAAAGAAGAAUUUCUCCAGAGCUCUUGCCAAAUGCACUUGAAGCAGCAGACCUUUACAGGCAGCACUUGGGAUCUGCACUCAAAGAAUAUUCGACUUUUGGAGUUGAUCCCUUCACAACCGAACAGGACAAACUUAGAACAGAGAGUCAUUUUGCAGAAAAAUAUCCUGAUAUUUCACAUUUGUUUUUUAGAGCCGUAAAUGGUGACUUUAUGCCAUACAAAGAAGCUCUGCUCUGUCUCAUAAACAUAACUCAGAGAAAUGUAUGAACCACUGCAUCUGUAAACUGUACAGAACAGACAAAAAAAAAAAUCAACUGACUGUAAACAUUUGUGUGUACACACUACAUUACUCCUCUGCAAAAAAAGAUUUCAAUACAGAAAAUGCAGCUGUUAGACCAGUAAUUUGUAGAACUCCGUUGUUACUCUCCCUGCAUUUUGCACAGUGCUGUGAUGUCUCUUGCCACUGUUCCACACAUGUCUUGCAGCCAAUAAUGCUUCUGCAGCACAGUGAGAACACUGGAUCCUCAAUGAUGUCUGCAAAAGUAAAUCAGAUAAGUGAGACUGUUAUCCAUUUAUGUUGAAUUUAGUUCAAACUAUAGGUUCAAAGUCAGUCUUGACAUAAAUUUACAGACAGCAUGCAGAAUAUUUUUGGUUAUUCUGUAAUUACUCUUGUUCACGCUGUUCUGAGAAAGUCCCUGUCUAUAUUUUUGUCUAUAAUUGAUGAGGGGCAAAAUCAGUACAUUUUCUCAAUUAGCAAGCAAGAAAAAUGAAAAAGUUACAGGUACUUGAUUCAAUAUAUGCAACUACAGUCCCAUUUUAAAUGUGAACUUUUUAGUUUUACAUUACUGUGAACAGUGUACCGUCACCCAUACUGACAUUGUAAUCAAUUUGAAAAGCUAUACUUUCAUAGUCAAGAUUGCAAGGAGAACCCAAAUUAAAUGUGCAUGUAAACUUUUGAAUGUUAUGUUACAGUAGACCUGCAUCUUGAUUGUCUGUGCCUAAGUAUUUAAAUGGACACUGCUGAAUAAAGAGCCUAUGUUUGGUAAAAAAAUGUUUGUCCAAAGUAAUGAUUGAAUGUGGUUUGACAUUGUUUUAAUUGUAAUUAAAAUGUUAGUGUAGAUGUAAUGUAUUUACUAAGCAACAUUUGAACAUACUCAUACAAACCACGCAGCUAAAUCCCUCCUUGAGUGUCUGCAGCUUGGGGGUUGUGACUUUCUGGGCAACUGCAAGAUCAGUGAGCUCUUUGAUUGCUGCUGUGACAGCUGGCAGACUUUGAGAUGCCAACACCAACUCUUCUAUUUUGUCACUCACUUCUCCCAAACUGGCACUGUCAUCAUCUUUACGGCUGCUACAAAUAAAAAUGGAUAAUCAGAUGUCAAAGCUACUUACUGGCUUAAAGAAACAUCACAUCACUUACUGAUAGAUGAUGAUUUAUGUAGUGAUGUCUUACUGCUAUUAUAGGAUUUAAAUCAAAUUAAUUCUUCUAUAUUGAUGUUCAUCCUAUAGUAUAUACAUAUUUAUUCACAUACCUCAGUUUCUUCCUCUUUGUUCCCUGGAGGCAAUUAAAGUCUUGUUCAGGCACAGCAAGAAUUUUUCGUGCAUUUUGUCUCCAGUACUGUGACCCUACAGAUGAAAAACAAAACCAAAGAAACCUGUUUAGAAGCCAAUACCAUAUUACCCAAUAAAUAUUACAAAGAGUCUGGUAAGACAUGUCUCUCCAUAAGAUAUGGGCUUUAGCUGUAAUAUUAUGGCUCACCUGUUGUGCCCUCCGACUCCAGAAUUGCAUUGCCCUGUGCAUCUGUCAAAAUUAUUGGGUUGUAAUUACCAAUGGCAUCUUGCACUUUUCCUACUAUCCCUUGAAGCGUAGCCUCAGACUCCAGGAAUCGUACAACCACCAUUCUAUUGGGAAUCAACCUCCCACCAACUACAUCUGCAAAGUACACUGAUCUGUAAAACAAAACAUAAUAAUUUUACAUAUCUUGUAAAAGACAGCAGGCCACAAAUCCAUUCAGUGAUUGCUAUAGGCAAAUUGUACUAAAACAGCUUUGCUAUUCUUAACAAUUCAACUAUCCAUGCACCUUAUGUUUCUUUUUAUUUUGCCUGUUCUGUAAUUUAAUAUUCAAGAACACAGACUCAUCCUACCUCUGAAAUGUUUUGGAGGACAUAGGGGAACUUGAAGUAGCCUGCUGUGAACGUGAAGGUGCAGACGCUGCCACAGCUGGUGCUCGCAUAAAUGCAAAACGCUGCCCGCUGGAACCUGCUGUUGGAAUUGACUCCAUGUCUUCUCCGUGGACUUCAUAGUGACCUCUGGGUGUAAGGUCUAAUGCGCUGAAAACACCAGAGACCGCACCGGGGAACAUAGCCACGUUUGAAUCAUCCGUGAUGUACAGAGUAUGCGCGGAUACCUGUUUAAGAAAAGUUUCCGUAAAUCACGUUGCUCUGCUAACGUGUUACUCCUGUGCACACGGUUAAUAGGCUCUAAAGGCUUACUUAUUAGCUAGUAGCCGGUAAAAGUCAAUGAAUAACUAUUUACACAUUAGCACAUGUGCACAAUUCACAUAUUAGCACAAUGAAGACGGCUAGACAUAGUAUUAGUAAAAGUAGGCCUACAUGAAAUCACCAAAUGUUAACGUUAGCCGUUCCGCAGUAAGGAAGAACAAUAACGUUCAUAAAAAAACUGCUGAAAGCAAAGUUUGCGAAGUUUACAUAUCUACCUGAAAGAUGCGACCCAGUUUUUCUGCAGUCAUGUCUUCGUCCCGGAGUGUCACUCUCUUAGUUUUCCUAAAAACAACGUAAUGGUCCAUCCUCUGUUUAUUCCAGUGUAACUUUAAGGCCGUCGAUCUCUUGUGUGGGGGACGGUGUGCGCGCGCCAUAAAAAAACGCGCAGAAGAAGUACUUCCCGUUUCAGACAUUGAAAAUGCGUCUAUUUUUUUGUUUUUGCGCUAGUAUACUUUCAUUAUUUGAAUCACGAAGAAAUCCAAAAAAGCACGUCUAAUUUUAAGUGUAUGACGGCUAUUUGUUACCACCGAAUGAAAAAACAAGUUAUUUUCGCCCAUUUUAUUCUUUAUCAAAAAUUAAAAAAAUGAAAAUUCUUUUAAAUAUCGUUUUUUCGUUUUGGUUUCUGAAACAAAACUUCAAAUACCGAAAAGUACACGGACCUUUAUUAAAGUGCAAUUCGAAAAAGGUUUUUGAAAUGCAGUUUAUUAAA
ensembl:lncRNA